rnacentral:rRNA from 1 species
AAUCAACGCUGGCGGCGUGCCUAACACAUGCAAGUCGCACGAGAAAGGGACUUCGGUCCUGAGUAAGGUGGCGCACGGGUGAGUAACACGUGACUCAUCUACCCUCGAGUGGGGAAUAACCUAGGGAAACCUGGGCUAAUACCGCAUAACACUUACGAGUCAAAGCAGCAAUGCGCUUGGGGAGGAGGUCGCGGCAGAUUAGCUAGUUGGUGGGGUAAAGGCCUACCAAGGCGAUGAUCUGUAUCCGGCCUGAGAGGGCGCACGGACACACUGGAACUGAAACACGGUCCAGACUCCUCCGGGAGGCAGCAGUGGGGAAUUUUGCGCAAUGGGGGAAACCCUGACGCAGCAACGCCGCGUGGAGGAUGAAGUCUCUUGGGACGUAAACUCCUUUCGAUCGGGACGAUAAUGACGGUACCGAUAGAAGAAGCCCCGGCUAACUUCGUGCCAGCCGCCGCGGUAACAC